GCCUUCGUGGUGUAGUGGUCAGCACGCUCGACGCGUAUUCGAGAGGUCCGUGGUUCGAGUCCCGGCGAGGGUA
rnacentral:tRNA from 1 species